rnacentral:rRNA from 1 species
UACGUAGGGGGCAAGCGUUAUCCGGAAUUACUGGGUGUAAAGGGUGAGUAGGCGGCAUGGUAAGCCAGAUGUGAAAGCCUUGGGCUUAACCCGAGGAUUGCAUUUGGAACUAUCAAGCUAGAGUACAGGAGAGGAAAGCGGAAUUCCUAGUGUAGCGGUGAAAUGCGUAGAUAUAUGGAAGAACACCAGUGGCGAAGGCGGCCGCCUGGCCUGUUACUGACGCUGAGGCACGAAAGCGUGGGGAGCAAAUAGG